UACGUAGGGGGCAAGCGUUGUCCGGAUUUAUUGGGCGUAAAGAGCGUGUAGGCGGCCGUACAGGUCAGCUGUGAAAACUCGAGGCUCAACCUCGAGACGUCGGUUGAAACCGUACGGCUAGAGUCCGGAAGAGGAGAGUGGAAUUCCCGGUGUAGCGGUGAAAUGCGCAGAUAUCGGGAAGAACACCCGUGGCGAAGGCGGCUCACUGGACCACAACUGACGCUGAGGCGCGAAAGCUAGGGGAGCAAACAGGG
rnacentral:rRNA from 1 species